rnacentral:rRNA from 1 species
AUUGAACGCUGGCGGCAUGCUUUACACAUGCAAGUCGAACGGUAACAGGGAGCUUGCUCCGCUGACGAGUGGCGAACGGGUGAGUAAUGCGUCGGAACGUGCCGAGUAGUGGGGGAUAACGCAGCGAAAGUUGUGCUAAUACCGCAUACGUACUGAGGUAGAAAGUGGGGGACCUUCGGGCCUCACGCUAUUCGAGCGGCCGACGUCUGAUUAGCUGGUAGGUGAGGUAAAGGCUCACCUAGGCGACGAUCAGUAGCGGGGCUGAGCGGAUGAUCCGCCACACUGGGACUGAGACACGGCCCAGAGUCCUACGGGAGGCAGCAGUGGGGAAUUUUGGACAAUGGGCGAAAGCCUGAUCCAGCCAUGCCGCGUGUCUGAAGAAGGCCUUCGGGUUGUAAAGGACUUUUGUCGGGGAGGAAAUCCCCUGCGCUAAUACCGCUGGGGGAUGACAGUACCUGAAGAAUAAGCACCGGCUAACUACGUGCCAGCCGCCGCCGUAAUAC